AUAUACAUGAAAAGAGGUUACGUUUACAUACAAUAUAAAAAAACUGUAUAUUCCACAUAUUGACUGUGAUGUUGAUGCAAUACUAAUGACUAUCUUGCAGAAAACCCUGCUUGAAAAUAGAGAAUGACACCUGCGAGCCCUUGCGCCCCAAGAAUCACCUUCCAGAUGAAGGGCUGUCAUAUUGUGGAGGGCGGGCUUUCAACCCUGAAGAAGCCACUUGUUGUAAAGAUGGAUACACCAACACAAAUGUUACAGAGGGUCUGAGUGAAAAGGUGUCAGCUUGCUGUGGACUAAUGGCCUAUGACCAACUCAAUGAAAUCUGCUGCAACUCAAAAAUCAUAGCCAAACCCGCACCAAAUGCCCAAUGUUGUGAUAGUGAUGCUUAUGAUGUGGACAAGCAGAUGUGUUGUGGUACUUUGGAGAACAAGACGAUCCUGACAAGAAAGUCCAGGGACCACCUGUGCUGUGGACAUGACCAGUUUGACCCUAACACUGAGUGCUGCUGUAA